CCGUGUAAGAAGUGCCUUUCGCCUCCCGCCAUGAUUCCGAGGCCUGCCCAGCCAUGUGGAACUGUCUUCUUUCUGAAACCAGCCCAACUUUUCUCCCAGAGAGUAUCAUGGAACUGAACUUUCAAGAUCAUGGCAUCUGGACAUGGAGACAACAGAACCCUCAUCUGGCCACCUGCUGCUUGUUGACCAAUUCCCAUAUAAACCACUAACUUCAGUCAGUUGGAGAGACGGAUUUGAGAUUUGCCUUCUGUCUCUCAGCUGAUGUCACCAGCAAUAAAGCCUUCUUCCCUGGC
rnacentral:antisense_RNA from 1 species